rnacentral:rRNA from 1 species
GGACCCGCACAAGUAGUGGAGCAUGUGGUUUAAUUCGAAGAUACGCGAAGAACCUUACCAGGGCUUGACAUACUACGAAUUUUCUUGAAAGAGAAAAGUGCCUUCGGGAAUGUAGAUACAGGUGGUGCAUGGCUGUCGUCAGCUCGUGUCGUGAGAUGUUGGGUUAAGUCCCGCAACGAGCGCAACCCUUAUUUUUAGUUACCAAUUCGUUGGGUUCUCUAGAAAGACUGCCGGUGACAAACCGGAGGAAGGUGAGGAUGACGUCAAGUCAGCAUGCCCCUUAUGUCCUGGGCUACACACGUGCUACAAUGGUUAAGACAAAGAGUUGCGAGCUUGUAAAAGUCAGCUAAUCUCGUAAACUUAGCCUAAGUUCAGAUUGUAGGCUGCAACUCGCCUGCAUGAAGUUGGAAUCGCUAGUAA